AUAUGUUAAAACGUUUACAGCUAUCGAUAAGGCACAAGCCAAUCUAAAGAGGGUGUUCGCACCCAAGGUUUUUGGAGGGGCCGGGAGAUCCAGGAGCCGUCCACCCGGCUGAGGCUUCAGGGGUCAAUCUAGAGCCCCCAGAGGUUCCCACCAAUUCCCAAGAUAUACACCAGAAUACAGGCCAUCCCCGUUCUUCCCAUCCAGAGGAAGACCAUGGCAG